GCUCUAAAUGGGAGGUAAAUUUCUUCUAAAGCUAAAUACCGGCCAGAGACCGAUAGCGCACAAGUAGAGUGAUCGAAAGAUGAAAAGCACUUUGGAAAGAGAGUUAAAAAGUACGUGAAAUUGUUGAAAGGGAAGCGCUUGCAACCAGACUUGUCCGCAGUUGCUCAGCCGGUCUCCUGACCGGCGUACUCUUCUGCGGCCAGGCCAGCAUCAGUUCGGGCGGUCGGAUAAAGGCCUCGGGAAUGUGGCUCCUCUCGGGGAGUGUUAUAGCCCGGGGUGCAAUGCGGCCAGCCUGGACUGAGGAACUUCGCUUCGGCAAGGAUGC
rnacentral:rRNA from 1 species